CCUACGGGGGGCAGCAGUGGGGAAUAUUGGACAAUGGGCGAAAGCCUGAUCCAGCCAUGCCGCGUGUGUGAAGAAGGCCUUCGGGUUGUAAAGCACUUUCAGUGGGGAAGAAAGCCUUGGGGCUAAUACCCUCGAGGAAGGACAUCACCCACAGAAGAAGCACCGGCUAACUCCGUGCCAGCAGCCGCGGUAAUACGGAGGGUGCGAGCGUUAAUCGGAAUUACUGGGCGUAAAGCGCGCGUAGGCGGUCUGAUAAGCCGGUUGUGAAAGCCCCGGGCUCAACCUGGGAACGGCAUCCGGAACUGUCAGGCUAGAGUGCAGGAGAGGAAGGUAGAAGUCCAGGUGUAGCGGUGAAAUGCGUAGAGAUCGGGAGGAAUACCAGUGGCGAAGGCGGCCUUCUGGACUGACACUGACGCUGAGGUGCGAAAGCGUGGGUAGCAAACAGGAUUAGAUACCCUAGUAGUC
rnacentral:rRNA from 1 species